AAUGAACGUUGGCGGCGUGGAUUAGGCAUGCAAGUCGAGCGAGAACCCGCAAGGGGGACAGCGGCGAACGGGGUAGGAAUACGUAGGUAACGUACCCUCGGGGCGAGGACAGCCACGGGAAACUGUGGGUAAUACUCGAUAAACUUCCCAAUCAUUAUGGAAGGGGAAGCAAUGGGUGUGAUUCCACCUGAGGAGCGGCUUACGCAGUAUCAGCUAGUUGGUGAGGUAACGGCUCACCAAGGCUACGACGCUUAGGGGGUGUGAGAGCAUGGCCCCCCACCACUGGCACUGAGACACUGGCCAGACACCUACGGGUGGCUGCAGUCGAGAAUCUUCGGCAAUGGACGCAAGUCUGACCGAGCGACGCCGCGUGUGGGAUGAAGGCCUUCGGGUUGUAACCACUGUCAGAGGGAUGAAGUGUACGAGGGUUAUCUCUUGUAUUUGACAGAGCCUCAGAGGAAGCACGGGCUAAGUUCGUGCCAG
rnacentral:rRNA from 1 species